CUCAGCUUUUCCUGGGUGUGCUCUGUGGCCUUUGGAGGGAGCAAAAUCUCUCUGAACUCCCAUUUGCCCAUCCAUAUCGUUCCCUUCAGGGAGGAAGGGAGGCCCAAAAGAGGCACCUGACAAAUUAAAAAGAGCUUUCUACGAGGUGCUCCCGGGAGGGUGGGGGCAGAGGCAGUGAUCACCCUCUUCUGCGGCUCUGGGUGGGCUUCCCAUCCAGGACAAGUUAAUUUGCUGUGUGGCCUUGGGUGAGUUACUUUCCCUCUCUGAACCUGUUUCCUCACCAGUCAAACACAGUGAAUGAGCACCCUGUCCCAUCUCCCGAUUGUCACAAUGGCCUAGGAGUGGCAGAGGAGAGCAGAGCUGAGGUGGUCGUUUUCAUAUUCUAGAGGAGGAAAUUGAGGCUUGUGCUGGGAGUCAGGAGUCCUGGGUUCUAGUCCCAGCUGCGGCUGUCUGUGCUGAGGGGCUUUCCUCAUUUUGGCCUCGGUUUCCCCAGCUGGAUCCAGGCCCUGGAUCUCUGCACUCGCUGGACCUCAUUUCCUCCCCCCCAACCACGGCGGUGAGUCAUCCCUCAUCAUCACGCUGUGUGGCCGAGGCUCAGCCUGGGUGGGGGCCAGCGAGGCCGAGACAACUCAGAGGAAAUCACAGGCCCGGCCCAGCUGGCAGGUGGCGGGCAGGCGGUCAGGCGGGCAGGGAUCCACGGCCCUGGGGGUCUUGCCCAUAAGCACAUCUCCCACCAAGAGCCCCACCCGGCUCCCCAGGGCCCAGCUCUGCCGGCUCAGACCCCAGAGUCCGCACGCCCCAUCCCGUGUGGCACCUGCUACGGCAGGACUCUGCGCCCACCUGCUGGAAGAGGGCAGGGGUGUGGGUGAGGACCCUGGCCUCGCCCUCCAGCCAAUGUUCAUGGAGGCAGGUGCGGAGGGGGACUGUCAAGGUCUCAGUCUGCGGGCAAGUCCAAGAUGCUCAGCAGGGGGCAGGCAGUGUAGCAGUUAAGAGCAGGGGCCUAGACUGUCUGGGUACAAAUCCUGGCUGACCUGGAGCAAGCGGCUUAACCUGCCUGAGGCUUGGCUUCUCCAUCUGAG
rnacentral:lncRNA from 1 species